GACUGAAAGAGAUUGGGAGUUGAUUGGAUAGUCAGAGAUGGGUGCAGAAUUUAAACUCCUGGAUCAUAGAAAAAUUAAUGAAAUAGCAGAAAGAAUCGUAUAGCAGGCACAUUUUGUUGCUGAACAUUUUAGUCAAAUGUUGGUUGAUAAUUUCUACCUACAACGUUAGCAAGAAUUUUGGUGAAUGGACUAUGAAAAGAUGGGCAGAGACACUAUCCGGGAUGCUGGAGAUACAGCAGUGAACAAAACCCACACACCCCUCUGCCCCCUGGGAGCUUACAUCAAAGAGGGAGGUGGAGAAUAAACAAGACUCCCUGUGAUCUGGCUACAUGCUGUAAACUGCUCAUAGUGGUUCCUGCCUCCACGCCUCAUGAACAUGGUUCCUGUGUGUAGCCCAAUGCCAACCAGUUCUUUCCUGACAUGACUUUGUCCUGGGACACCUGCUCUUUCCUGCCCUGGAGACUCAAUGAUUUUAUGUCUGGAGGUUCAUAAGUCACAAGAUAUCUGGAAUUAGGUGGGAGACCAUGAUGGUGACAUUUGGAAGAACCUGGCUGGGGAAGAAUGAAGCUCAAUUAUUUUUGUCUACUUUGCUAACAAUUCAGAGUUCUGAAAAGUCUGGAUCGCACUAUGAGAAGUUUGUGUGCUUGGUGAAAUGUUGUCCAAUUGGCCAAUCCACUUGGUCUUGGGAAAUGUCCUAGAAGCUUGGCAAGAAAAUGUUCUCAAGAGAGCACAAAUGCUGCCAAUUUCCAAUUGGCCAAGACACAUUACAAGGACAACCUUCUCUCCGAGAAACCUGGCAUUUCCACUCCAAUUGGAAUCUGCAGCACAAAGAUGCACGCGGGGGAAAGACUAAGUAAACAAACCUUUCAGAUUUCCGCUCCAGCCAGUUGCCUGGUACCAUGAUGUCACCUACUACUGUUUAGUUUCCAUCCACCAGGUCUACACUAGUGAAUACUCCAGGACCAGUAAAGUCACUUGUUUGCCAGCAGCAGCAGUUAUUUCUGCAUUGACCAAGCUGGUACUUUGCUCAUCAUCAAACCCAGUCCAAGUAUAGGUGGCUGCUUCUGGAAUUAACUUCCAAAUGCCGGAUGGAAGUCAGGUGUGUUUUCAUCGGGUCCGUGCAAAUCCAGGCAUUGAGUUGAUGUUGUGGAUAUAACAGGAUUGAUUUCUGGCCUUUGGGGAGCCAGCACACAGACAAUGAAGCAGGAAAACAUGAUGACCUAUGAUCCACCAGAAUGGAAGCUCCAUGAAUGCAGGAAAAAUAAGAUAACUGUGUGAAGCAACUAAGGAACAACUGAAGCCUAGAGGCCCUUUGGAGAUUCAGAAUACAAUAGAAAUUGUGAACUGAGGUAAGGAUAUAGAAAAGCUUCUGAUGGAUCGAGGUGUGUUUUGACCUGCUGAUCAUGUGGGCAACUACAAAGAACAUGGACUUUGGAGUCAGCUAGACCUUGGACUGAACUCUGCUCUGUUACUUGCUACUUGUGUAACCAUUGCCAAGGUAUUGAUCUGUGAGUUUCCUCAUCUACACAAUGGAGAUAAAUAUGUAAGUAUGUAUAUGAGAGAGACAGCCUAACAUUCACAGAUAGGAAAUAAAUGGCAGCUUGUCAUAAUAAUAGCACAUUUUAGGAUGCUUUGCCCUUAAAAACUUUGUUUUGCUCUGAGGUAAGUAAAGAAUAAAUGCUGAGUUCUGGUUUGGCUUGAGAAGUCAAAAGUGGACCGAUCUCAGGGCACCUGUGUGAUUCAAUCCGUUGAGCGGCCAACUCUUGAUUUCGGCUCAGGUCAUGGGCUGACAGCAUGGAGCCUGCUCGGGCUUCUCUCUCUCUCUCUCUCCCUCUCUCCCUCUCUGUGCCCCUCCCCUGCUCACAUCCUCAAACAAUGUUAACUAGCCGAAGUUAUUUUAUCCCUUCUUCAAAUAACCUAAGUUUUAUGUCACAUAUUUUUAACAUAAAAAUCAUCCACGUUCCCUUUAAAUUGUGGAACGCAGUAUUAGAUGUGCUGGCGGAUCUGCUGGAUAGUUUAUCUUGGGUCAUCUUGAAUUGCCUGGGUCUCCAUCUUUGGGUCUACCUUGGCUUUGCUUGUGGGAAUGGCUACUGUUGCAUAUGCAGUUGACUGAUUGUGUUCCAUGGGUAUCCAACCUUUAUUUUUUUCCUCCUUGACCUUAUGCAUAUCUGAUUCCUAUGCUUAAGAAGCAUGAGCCGUAUCUUCUUGCUCCAAAUCUCCUGGUAGGCUACAUCCAGUCUGUGUUUUCACAGGGGGACUGAUAUAGAUACAAAGAGAAAAACAAGUAUUGAGAUUCAUUUAUUAAUUGUUCAUUCACUCACUCAACAAAACUUUAUUUGAAACUUUCUAUAUGCAAAGCAUGACGAGGUGCUAUAAGAAAUAUACAUGACAAGAAUAUAUGUUCCAAGGCCUCAAGGACCCCACAGUCUAGCAUACUGCCUGUGAGAUAUUAGGCCUUAUAUAGCAAUGGGAGGAAUAUUUCUCCCUUCAACUGGAUCCUGCAGAGUAUGUGGAACAAUCUAAAUAGUUCUUUUCUUAAUCAGCUUGAGAGGAGAAAAGUCAACUGGGCCUUUCCCUUCUUUGAUAUUUGAGAUAUUCUUGGAAUGGUAUUUCAUUGCCCUUUGGUAGAAUAGCUCACAAAAGCCAAAUAAUACUUUGUGUAAACUAUAGACUUCCCUGAAAGAGUGUGUUGGAAAUUUUUGACUCCGCUAACUUUCUGUCAAGUUAAACACCCAACAUCAAGAAGAAAUUUGAGCAUUUGUACAAAAGUCUAACAAAUUCUUACAAAUUAGGAUAGAAUUAAAGAAAAUUCAUUAUGGUCAACAAGCUUGUGGAAGCUUUAUUUUAUUCAGUGUAUCCCCCAAAACUGAUUUUUUUUCUGGUUUUAUUGAGAUAUAAUUGACAAGCAACACUGUAUAAGUUUAAGGUGUGCAGCAUAAUGAAAAAGGACAUCUAUAUUAUGCAAUAAUGGCCACAGUAAGUUUAGUUAACAUCCAUCACCUCAUACAGUUGUGAAUUUUUUCCCCUUGUGAUCAGAACAUUUGCAUUUUACUUUCUUGGCCACUUUCAAAUAUACCAUACAACAUUGUUAACUAUAGUCAUCAUGUUGUAUAUCACAUCCCAAUCCUUACUUAUCUUAUAACUAGAAGUUUGUACUUUUUAACCACCUUCAGUCAAUUCCCCCACCUCUCACCUCCUGCUUCUUGAAAUCACAAAUAUGAUCUUUUUUUUCCUAUGAGUUUGUUUGUUUGUUUUUGAUUCCACAUAUAAGUGAGAUCAUACAGUAUUUGUCUUUUUCCGUCUGACUUAUUUUACUUAGCAUAAUGCCCUCAAGAUACAUCCAUGUUGUUGCAAAUGUCAGGAUAUCCUUUUUUUCAUGGCUAAACAGUAUUCCAUGUAAAUGGGAUUAUUGAACACUUAGGUUGUUUCUAUGUCUUGGCUAUUGUAAAUAGUGCUUCAGUGAACAUGAGGGUACAGAUAUCUCUUUGACAGAGUAACUUUGUUUCUUUCAAAUAUAUACUCAGCAAUGGAAUUGUUGGAUCAUACAGUUCUAUUUUUAAUUUUUUGAGGAACUUCCAUACUGUUUUCUAGGAUGGUUGUACCAAUUUAUACUUCUACCAACAGUGUACAAGGGUUCCAUUUUCCACACAUUUUUACCAGUAUUUAUCUCUUGUCAUUUUUUAAAUGUUUAUUUUUGAAAGAGAGAGAGAGAGAGAGAGAGAGAACAAGUUGGGGAGGGGCAGAGAGAGAGGGAGACAGAGGGUCCGAAACAGGCUCUGCGCUGACAGCAGAGAGCCUGACAUGGGCUCGAAUCCACAAACUGUGAGAGCAUGACCUGAGCUGAAGUGGGCUCAUGGUGAGAGCAUGACCUGAGCUCAACCGACUGGGUCACCCAGGGACCCUUAUCUCUUGUCUUUUUGAUGCUAGAGAUUCUAACAGCCCUGAGGUGAUAAUCUCAUUGUAGUUUUGAUUUGCAUUUUUCUAUUGAUUAGUGAUGUGCAGCUUUUCAUAUACCUGUUGGCCAUUUGAAUAUCUUCUUUGGAAAAAUGUCUAUUCAGGCCCUUUUCUAAUUUUUAAAUUGGAUUAAUUUUUUUGGUUUUGUUUUUCAUGUUUUGGUUUUUUGCUAUUGAGUUGUAUGAAAUCUUUAUAUGUAUCAUGGGUAUCCAAACUGAGUUUUAAAUUAUUAUUGAUUUGGAUUACAUCAUGCUCACCCCAAUUUCGCAUUUCUGGCUACCUACAUACUAUGGAGCCAGAUUGGGAGUAGGCCUCUUUCAUAAGUUUUUCUCAAAUCAGCUUGAAGGGUUUAUUUUAAGCAUAAUGUUCAAAUGCACUAAGUACUGUCCCUCAUUAUUCAGUGGAGGAAGUUGAGGCUUGGAAUAGUCCAGAAACCAGACUGCAACAGAUUAAAUGGUAGUGAUAUCAAGAUUUGAAACUCGCUCUAGACUCAUUUUUAAUGGACAUUUUUGAUCAUUUGUCUUUGAUUUCCUAGCAAUUUAUAGUUUCUUUGGCAAACCAUUCCGUCCCCAAUACUAAGACUAGAAUUCUAUUGUUCCCAUUCUCCUAUUUGCCCACCACUCUUCAAAUAUACAUGAAUUUUGAAAAUAUAUUUCUAAAAGGUUAGCUUUUCAGUUUCACCAAAUUUCCACUAACUCCCUUUGGUUCUUCCUGAGGAGUCAGAAUAUUGUAAAGAUUCAGAGCAGGAGUCAAAAAAACACUGGGUUUUGGUUCUAGUUCUACAAUUUAUUAGUGACCAGAGCAAGCUAUUUGGUAAUGUGGUAGACUGCAUUGAUGCUCUGUAGGACUUCACUUUCUUCCACUUCUUCCAUGGGGUCUAUGUUUUUCCACAGAAAUGAUGACAGCUUUGGCUGUAUCAUUUACUUUGUUCAGCUAUGUUAUCAAGAAGAAGCUUUGAUCAAACGUUACCGAUAUAGAGUAUCAUAAACGUACUUGCUGAUUUGGUUUGGUCUCUUGUACUCCUGCCAUCAGACACGGGAAGAGCAUGCUCUGAGUAGCUGUUGGUCCCAGAAGAGAGAAGUCUCGAGCAGAUUUAAAACCAACUGCAGCUUGUAGUCUGGGGCCUCUCCCGCUAUUCUCAGUUUAGGCCACAAAGCCAUCCUCGUUAACCCAUAAACUUAUUAGGAAGAAAACUAAAUAUUUGUUUUUGCAAGUCAGUGACAUUCUUGGGUUGUCACGCAGCAUUAUCAUAGUAAUAGCUGACUAAUACAAUUUCUCUGUGUCUCAAAUUUCUGAUCUAUAAUGUGGGGUAAUAUUUAUACCAUACUUAAUUCUUUCAUGUUUGAAGAUUCAUUGAGAUGAUACAUACAUUAUGUUUAGAACAUUGUCACACUGUAUAAAUACCAUCCAUUAUUAUACAUUAUUUAUGUAUGUAUGUAUUUAUGUAUGAACUAUGCUCUCCCCCAAGUAAUUACAUCAACAAAUAUAUGUUAGUAUGCUUAUAUCACCUUGAUAUAACUGAGUAAUACCUUCCAAUAGAGGAAGAGUACAAGGAAACACUAUGAGAGACCUGAACUCAUCAGCAUUAGUUAUACCUCUCUCCCAACUGCCUAAGUCCUUGCUUGGAUAAGGGGCAACAGGAGCCCAUUGAUGGGUAGUAGGGCUCUUCUUUCUACAGAAUACCUUAGUACUUCUGCCUGUGUCUGCUACCUCCAGAGCAUAUUAAGAACGUAACGGUGGCUGAAGCAGGUACUCUUGACGCCCAGCUGACAUUCCUUAGGCCCAUGUCUGAGUUGCAUACACACUGAAAGCUUUUCUAUCUCAGACACUUGUAUAUCUUUACUUCUCAGCCUAAGAGCUUUCUCUAGUGCCAUGGAAGCUUGCUUAGCAGGGUAGCCAAGAAGUGCCUAUGGGGCAGUCUUUAAGCCAUGAAAAAUGGUUGAUUAGUUCUCUAGUUUUCCUGUCCCUCUAUAAGACAUUUUGAGUAAUAUUUUAUUAGAUUCCAGCAGAAUUGAGCCCCAGUUUCCACAAAUGGUAACCCUGGCAUACCAUUUACUGGGUUUUCUCCCUUUUCUGUCUCACUGCCCUCCUCCCUCACUUGUACUUUCUUGGAUCACAUCCCCCCAGAACUGCCUGAACUCAAGUCUCUUCUCAGAACAUGCUUUUAUGGGUAACAUAUUCAUAUAGUGAAUUAACCCAUCUUUCCUCUUUUUGUUUAUCCUGUUUGUGAGCCAGAAGGACCAUGGCAGACAUCCACACUUAUGUUGAUACAUUAGUAAUCAAUCUUAAAUAUGUUUUCUGUAACUCAGUAGCUAAUGGAAACCAGUGCUUUUAUUUGAAUAGGCUUGUUACCUCAGUGGAAGGAGGAUGCUUUACUCAAGGUUAUGUGCCCUUCCUAGGGCAGUCCAUAUCAAAUAACUGCUGAUAUAGGGGUUCAAAGCUUAGCCCUCCCUUGUCUCAAUUUGAUACACUUCUGAAGGGGAUUCUUUUCUUCCUAGCCACCUGUAGAGCUGAGGUGGUUAGGACCUGUAACAAUUGUAUUUCUUCCUCUUUUUUAAAAAAUGUUUAUUUUUGAGAGAGAGAGAGAGAGAGUGGGGGAGGGAAAGAGAGAGAGAGAGGGACAGAGGAUUGGAAGUGGGUUCUGUGCUGACAGCAGACAGCCUGUUGCGGGGCUCAAACUCAUGAACACUGAGAUCAUGACCUGAGCCAAAGUCAGAUGCUUAACUGACUGAGCUACCCAGGCACCCCACGGUAGCAGUUCUUCCUUUUUUUUUUUUUCCUUUUUAUUAUUAAACUUUAUUUUUUAGAACAGUUUUAGAUUCACAGCAAAACUGAAUGGCAAGUACAGAGAGUUCCCUUAUAAACCCUGCCCUAACAUAUGCACAACCUUCCCCGCUAUCAACAACCUGCACUAGAGUGGUACAUUUGUUGAACCUACACUAACACAUCCUUGUUGCCCGAAGUCCACAGUUUACAUUAGGGAUCAUGCUUGGUGUUAUAUAUUCUAUGGGUUUAGACAAAUGUAUAAUGACAUGCAUCUACCAUUGCAGUAUCAUACAAAGUAGUUUAGAAUAUCCUCUGUGUUCUGCCUAUUUAUCCUCCCUUGCCUCAAGCUCUGGCAGCCACUGAUCUUUUUACUGUUUCCAUAGUUUUGUCUUUCCAUGAAUACCAUAUAGCUGGAACAAUAUAAUAUGUAGCCUUUUUCAGAUUGGCUUCUUUCACUUAGUAAUAUGCAUUUAAGUUUCCUCCAUGUCUUUCCAUGGCUCCAUAGCUCAUUUCUUUUUAAUGCUGAACAGUAUUCCAUUGUUUGGAUGCCCCACAGUUGGUUUAUCCAUUCACCUACUGAGGACUAUCGUGGUUGCUUCCAAUUUGGAACUAUUAUGAAUAAAGCUGCUAUAAACAUCUGCA